rnacentral:tRNA from 1 species
UCCCUGGUGGCCUGGUGGUUAGGAUUCAGCACUUUCACGGCUAUGACCCAGGUUCGAUCCCUGGUCUGGGAA